rnacentral:SRP_RNA from 1 species
GAUCCACGAACCCCGUCAGGUCCGGAAGGAAGCAGCGGUAAGUGGCCUACUCUGGGUGCCGCAGGGGCUCCUGGCUGGAGCAAGCUGACCGGAGUAAGCCGGGGCAGUCGUGUCGAAGGAGGGUGCACGA